rnacentral:lncRNA from 1 species
CCUUGCUCAAAAACAAAGUAACUUCUCUGUCAACCAAAGAAAGAAUAGAAGCAUACAAUGCCGAAUGGAAUACAAAGCCCAUAGUUCCAAAUAGAGGCAGAGACAGCUGGACAUUUGAGUCCUACAGGGAAAAGGAACCCCAAACCAUCCGUGCAUGCAUAUGUCGGGUGGGGGUGAUGGGUGGAAUAUUUAAUCAGUGUUUGUAAAGGUUGAAUUUAUAGGUUCUUUUACAAGAAAGAAGAGAGCUGCUUGGAGCUAAAUACCCCGAAGCAAAUAACCUACUGGAGAUGAGUAGAAGCUCUCUGCUGUAGAUGGGGUUUUCCUUCAUCCUGUCUACAUCACGUUUUCGUCAUUUGCCUCACAUCUAUAGCCUUUGGACUUCUCAUCUCUGCCAAAGGUAAUAGUAAAAACAAAUGAAUACCAUUAGUUUAGAAUUCCAAGCAGAAGUCAGCUGCUCAGGGCUCUGCACUUAGGUCACACCUGUUCUCCAUGGCAGAAACGUGGGCCAGAUGCUCCUUGAAGAAAGACUGCGACUGUGCAUGUCAACCACUACUUCUCAUACUGAAGCCUAGGAAGAAAUGUCAGAACUGGCCAGGGGAAGCUGACACCCUGCGAAACACACCCAGAUCCUGCUUUCCUAGGACAGAAAAAAUGACCUCUGGCCUCUCUUUGCAAACUUUAGUUAAGAGUUGGGAGUAAGAGAUUCAUGACCACCAAGAAAGGUAAGUUACAUAUGUAUAGAUACAAUACUCUUAUUUUGUGCUCUUUUUUCUCCAAUCUUCAAUAAAUCACCUAAAAUAUAAUAAGACUUCUGUGCAGCCCGAUGGAGUAAACACUUCUGGAAUAAUUUUUCCUUCCCCAUUUCUCCAACAUCUUUCUUAUGACAUUUCUUUUUCUGAAAUUCAUUGGUCCUUG